CGGGGCAUGGCGCAGCCUGGUAGCGCGCUAGUUUUGGGAACUAGAUGCCGGGAGUUCAAAUCUCUCUGCCCCGACCA
rnacentral:tRNA from 2 species